UACGUAGGCGGAAAAUUAAGUCAGUGGUGAAAUCCUGCAGCUCAACUGUAGAACUGCCAUUGAUACUGAUCUUCUUGAAUUUAGUUGAGGUGGGCGGAACGUGUAAUGUAGCGGUGAAAUGCUUAGAUAUUACACAGAACACCGAUUGCGAAGGCAGCUCACUAAACUAACAUUGACGCUGAGGCACGAAAGCGUGGGUAGCGAACAGGAUUAGAUACCCUGGUAGUCC
rnacentral:rRNA from 1 species